UACAGGGGGUGCAAACGUUGCUCGGAAUCAUUGGGCGUAAAGCGCACGUAGGCGGUUUGUUAUGUCGGCUGUGAAAGCCCUUGGCUCAACUGAGGAAGUGCAUCCGAAACUGGCAAGCUAGAGUACUAAAGAGGAUCGCGGAAUUCCCGGUGUAGAGGUGAAAUUCGUAGAUAUCGGGAGGAACACCGGUGGCGAAGGCGGCGAUCUGGGUAGAUACUGACGCUGAGGUGCGAAAGCGUGGGGAGCAAACAGG
rnacentral:rRNA from 1 species